rnacentral:lncRNA from 1 species
ACCGGGCUCUGAACUAGGGGAGUGUGGAUUCUCAAAGAAUUCAUGAAAAUGUUCACAAUGGAGUCUUCUUAUGCAUCUGUUUUCCCUAGAGCAUUCAAUUCAAGCUCAUGAAAUAUCAGGCAAGUAAAAACUGUCCUCUUCUGCUCUCCAUGCCUCAACUCGCAGGGGUCUGAAACUAUAUCAGGUAGAAGAAAUAGAAGCACAAGCUGUAGAAACAAAAGAAGCUAAUUUUGCACCUUCACUGUUUGUGAGCUUCUCAUCUGCAACACUCUUGAAUAGGCAAGAGUGUGAGGCCUCCGUUUUGAAUAAAAUAUAGAAAUUUGACUAUUGAAUGGGACUAAUUGAAUACCUUUCUUUUUUUACUUAAACAUUAUCAGAGAGGUUAUGAAGCCUUCCUGAAUGCUCAUUCAAGGUAAGGAAUUGGCUAACCCCAAAGAACACAUUGAAAAGAAAAAAUGAUGAUAGGAUUAAAUUAAAUAUGUUUUAUUACAUUGCAUCAGUUUAGAUGUUCAAUAUAUUCUUUUUUAAUAAAGAAAAGUUUAUUUGGCUAAUGAUUUUCAGGUUGUACAAGAAGCAUGGCACCAGCAUCUGCAUCUGAUGAGGACCUCAGGGUGCUUCCACUUGUGGCGGAAGAAGGGGAGCCAGCAUGUGCAGAUACCACACGGCGAGAGAUGAAGGAAGAGAAAGAGGAGGAAGGUUCCAGGCUCUUUUUAACAAUCAGACCUCACAGGAACUAAUAGUGUGAGAAGAUGUUUAACAUAUUCUAAUAAGAUAUUCCUAAUAAACUGCCAUGAGAUAA